rnacentral:tRNA from 1 species
GAUGUUUCUGUGGUGUAGUGGUUAUCACGUUUGCUUUACACGCAAAAGGUCUCCGGUUUGAUCCCGGGCAGGAACAU